rnacentral:lncRNA from 1 species
UUGUUUUUUGUGAUUUUUUUGUAUGCGAUCUCGGAGUGUGUACAAACAAGUUUGACGGUUGGAUCGUUGAAAAACACUUUGUAGAACGCGUAUUGCAUCAAAAUGAUAGAUUAAACAAACACUUAGAGUUAAUGUUAUACUUCCAUUAAGUAUAAAAUAAGAUUUUGUGUUAUCCACUAGUGUAAAUAUUUUAAAUUGAAGAUCAAAUUUAUUCAUUACAUUCGUAUAGGGUCGAGGAGUGUAGUUGUAAAAAAAUCAUUAAAAUCGAAGCUAAAAUAACCGUUAAAUUGUGAAUUUUCGUUUAUAACCGUCGAAAACUUUUGUUCCGUUACGUAAUCUCUAAAUGUUUGUUUUUUACGAUUUUUUACAUAUGCGAUCUUGUUGACGGUUAGAUCAUUGAAACUAAUUUAGUAGAAUGCAUAUCUCCGUUAAAUUUGCCUAAAUUUUGAAGUGGGAAAAGUAAUUUGUGCUAAAUUU